ensembl:snRNA U7 U7 small nuclear RNA
AUGUGUUACAGCUCUUUUAGAAUUUGUCUAGCAGGUUUUCUGGUGAAAAUUGAACUCAA